GAAAAUGAUUGAAUAUUAAAUACCAUCGAGUUGACUCCUCAUAUGCAUGCUUUGACUGUAAAUCGUCCUUAAGUAAUUUAUAAACGUUACAUUUUAGUUUUGUUACAUCGCUGAAUAAAUCUGUGAAAACUCUGAACUUGAUCGAAUUUAUCUUUGUGUCGAUGCAAUUCGCAUCUAUUUGUAUUCAGUUGAUGUUGGUAAGUUGGUUUAAAUAAGAUUUAUAAAAUUUUGUAUUAAUAAUUCUUAGAGCGAAAUAACUUUUAUCAUCAUGUUUGAUUUAUGUCUGGUGGGUGUAAAUCUGUUGGAAAUAUUUUUGCUUUAUUGGAUUGCCAACACCAUCACAACUGAAGGCGAAUUAAUCAAACAAUAUAUUUUUGAGUGGACAUGGUACGAACAACCUUUAAGAGUUAAAAAAAUGACGAAUGUCAUUAUGAUGAGGUGCCAGAAACCUCUUGUUUUGAAAGUUGGAGACUUUUACACAAUGUCCAACGCCACAGCAGCACAAUUGCUGCGAUCAGCAUAUUCUUUGGUGAUGUUUUUGACACAAACGAUGAAUUGAUACUUGGCUACUUAAUAUAGUAAUAGGAAUUAGAUUACUAGUCAUAAAUAUUUAAAUUGUUAGAUUAAACACCUAAAAAUAAGGAGCAUAUUCAAUCACAAGAAUCUAUUAUGUGUGGAUUUAUGUUGGUAGGGAUGAGAGUAAUCAAAAAAGAUAAGGUCGCAAAUAGUCGGAUGUAAUUAAAUCCUUAAUCAUGUGACUCAUCUUUUGUAUGAGCCUCCCAUCCUCCCAAAAACAACAAUAAGACAUACCAGAUGCGAGAGCCACUCUCCCAACAUACAGGCAAUCAUUGUAGGUUUUGUAAUUGUAGCCAUGACUACUGAUUGUAGCUCUCCACUCCGGUGACAAGACAAUGCUUCGUCGGAUUAUCCACGUAUAUAAACGAUACUUAUCAUUGCGUACGUCCGAAACCGGCUGAUGGAUUAUUCGCCGAAUCGAAUUUGAUAAGUCCCGUUGUUGUGCGACGCAGUUAUUAAUGCGGGAUUUCGGCGCACGUGCUCCGUCAACAUUGAAAAAAGCAACGGUGCCCACCCCGACCCUCCUCACUGCUGCAUCUGUCCGCGAGCAGAUGCAGUUCGCAUUUUCGGGGGAGCUGUGAAUGGAAUAAUAAAUAUAAAAGGGGUCAAUUAAACGCCCUUAUCUACGUACAUUGGCAGGCCACGUGUCCCGAUCAUUUAAUGAUACCGGCGUAACAACGGGACGCUGGACGUUUUUAGGGCACGCUGCUGUGCUGAGCGACAGAUGAACUAAGUACGUUCAGUUUAUUGAGCAGAACACGAAAUUCUAUUAAGGAUUGUUUUGAGAACGUUAAAUGGGUUGUGACUCAAUGUAACAAUUGUUAUGUGUGGUUUUAUGAAAUGGUUCUCACGAAGAUGAAUCGUGUUUUCGGAGAAAUCAAGUUGAAAUUAUCACGUUAGUUUAAAAUACAAAUAGCUUAGAAUUCCACGUCAGAUGGUACAUUAUUCAAAGGAAUAAAGAUGAUUUAUGC